AUUGAACGCUGGCGGCAGGCCUAACACAUGCAAGUCGAGCGAGCGGCGGACGGGUGAGUAAUGUCUGGGAAACUGCCUGAUGGAGGGGGAUAACUACUGGAAACGGUAGCUAAUACCGCAUACCAUCAGAUGUGCCCAGAUGGGAUUAGCUCGUAGGUGGGUUAAUGGCUCACCUAGGCGACGAUCCCUAGCUGUUCUGAGAGGAUGACCAGCCACACUGGACCGGAGACGCGGCCCAGCUGCCUCCGGGAGGCAGCGGUGGGGAAUAUUGCACAAUGGGCGCAAGCCUGAUGCAGCCAUGCCGCGUGUGUGAAGAAGGCCUUCGGGUUGUAAAGCACUUUCAGCGGGGAGGCGUUACCCGCAGAAGAAGCACCGGCUAACUCCGUGCCAGCAGCCGCGGUAAUUC
rnacentral:rRNA from 1 species